GUUCAGUGGCACGGUUCUGACUUGCUUGGGUUGUGCUCGCAGAGGUCAGGGCAGUAUUGCAUAACGUGGGCCCUUGGAACGGCUAAUUUGAAGGUGUAGACAGUUGCUAGGGAGAUGGGAAAUCUACCUGGAUCGUGGUAGUUCUGUGUGCAGCUUCCAUGGAGUCUUGUCGUCUUUCUUACUUACGUAUUUAUGUUCGUGCAUGCUCUUAGUUUCACAGUGACACUCAGGCCUUGUCUUCACUGGGGGUUUUUUUUCCCUAGAAUUUCCCAUCAGUGGACACUGGACAUAGUAAAGGUGGGCGCACUAGUAUAGCAGCUCGCAAUCCAGGAGGCCCCCUGGACUGCGACUCCAGGAGAGACCAGCAUGGACUCUCAGCUGAAAAGUGCUGAGUGAAAGUGAGUAUAAGUAUUCCUGUUUGAGUCAGUCUUUGUAAUCUGCAGCCAGACACCCUCUUGAGUUAGGGUUUGACUGAAGUCAUGCACACAACCAGAAAGUCCAGAAAUGUGCAUGACUGAAACUGGCCAGAAAUAAAAUGACCUUAAAGAUAAUGAAGAGAAGCAGCAUUGAAUCUUCUGCCGAGCAACUUCUGUCACCUGGGGAAGGUCCAAAGGAAAGUAAUGGUGGGCAUAUAGCAACACAGUAAAAAUUCUGGGCUCUCUUCAUUUUUCCCAGACAGAAGUGAAUUAUGGACAGAUUAGAGGAAGGAAGAGGCAUGGACGGGGCCUGCACCCCAGCAAUUCUGCACUUUGCAAAGUCACAGAGGGACCAUUGUAGGAGUAGCUCAAAUGAGAGAUGAACCAGCCCCCCCAGCUAUAGAAUAAGCACGGUGCAAACCAUCUCAUUCUGUCCCUUCCAGCACAGGGAUGAAUAUGUCUCUUUUGAAUUUAUCCACCCAUCACUCUCUGCUACCAAAACUAAUCCCUGUAUGAGCUACAGAAAUAAAUGCAGUUUUGCAAAUCGGUCUACCACCAUAGAAGAGCUUGAAAAAGAACCACACUUUGUGCAUCAAUUGAUGAGAUCUGCCAGCAUGACUUGUAGACACACUGGAGAAAUCCCUUCUGUCACUUCAAUGUCUCUGCAUUGCUUCCAACAGUGGCUGCACUGGGCCCCUUGCCAGCUAGCAUAGAAGCUUCUCUGACCUCACUGUUUUAUCAAAUUGGAAAGGACCUCUGUGUAUGGUUUUCCCAUCUGCGAAAUGGUGUUGGUCUUGCCUUACCAUGGAAGAGACCCCCUCAUGAACCAAAAGGGGAAGCUGAGUAUACAGUGACACUUCCUAGCCAUAAAGAGCCACGAUGUUUCUGUGGCUGUCUUUGCCAGUCGUGUGCCAUCCCCUAUAGUGAACACACAAUCUUGUGCUCAGCAUCCAAUUCAAUAGUAAACCAGCAGGCUUGCUCCGUCCCACAGAGUCAUAAAGCGAGCAACACGAUGACCUAGGUACAGUACUUCCCCAGGCCCCCAUUGCCAGAGCAAUCUGAGACCCUCACAAAGAUGAAUCCUGGGGAGGUAGGGAAGUACUAUGGACUCUGAUGACUGGUUACCAGCUGGAAUAUGUUCUGGGCCAGGUUCUUGAUCACUAUGGACUAAAGAAUACACGGAUGGUGCAAGAAAAUGGAUCUGGAUGAAAGACUCUUUAGGAUGUAAAGCUGUUAGUGGUGAGUGGCAUCAUUCGAGCCUAGGACAAGGAGAACACCUGUGUCUGGAUGGAAGCCAGCAGUCAUUUAGCAGGCCUAUUUUGGGAAAGCUUCCCCUUCUGCCUUAAGUGACAUGGUUAAUGCUGCCUCCUUAGGAGGUUACUCAGUCAUCUUAAUACGUCUUGUAUGUUGUCUUUUGUUUUUUUGUUUUUUUUUUUUUUUCUCCUUCCAGAUUUUGAUUAGUUUUUCCUUUGACAUGGGAGAAGAUGUCUGAUUGUAGAGGACUCUUAAAUUUGGCGGAUAGGAGCAUAACAAAGUCCAAUGGCUAGAAGUUGAAGCUGGACAAAUUCAAACUGGAAAUGACACACUUUUAAGUGAGGGUAAUUAGCUAUUGGAACAACUUACUAAGGGAUGUGAUGGAGACCCCAUCACUCGAAGUCUUUAAAUCAAGAUUUAAGGGACAGAUUCUCAGCUGGUGUAAAUUAUCAUAGCUCUGAUAUCAAUGGAGAUAAGAGUGCUUGCACCAGCUAAGAAUCUGGACCUUGACGUCUUUCUAAAAUACGUGCUCUUGGCUGACCGCAAGUUAUUUGGCUCAGUGCCAGAAUAUCUAGGUGAAAUUCUCCAGCCAUGUUAUACAGGAAAUUAGAUGAUCACAAUGGUCCCUUCUGACCUUAGAAUCUGUGGAUUAUUGCUAGGAUAAACACUAAAAGGUGAUACUGUGCCUUGAUAGAUUAGUAUUAUCAGACAUCUUCAGAGAGGAGCUAGCAGCAGUCAUUGCCUUCAUCUUAAAUUGUCAGCACCCAUCUGAAUUUUCUCUUACUCCUGUAAUGCUGGAAUCUGGUUUUUCAAGGGCUGUGUUUAUUCCUAUGGAAUGUGUAUUUUGCAGACUCGUUCCAUUCUUGGAGCAUUCUCUGGUAUGUAAAGCUGUACCAAUUAUUUUGUAAUAUGAAUACUAAAUAAAUUGCAUUACU